AUGUCCCCCGGGAUGGAGCAGGAGAGGGAGUUUAGGGUCCACUUGGACAAAGGACAGAAUGAAAGUAUUUAUUUCCACAGUGAUCAAAUCAAUUUCCCAGUGAGAGUGGGUGCCUCAGUAACAAUCUUCUCUUCUGUUCUGCUAAAAGGAUCUCUCUUUUCUCCCCCUUUGAGCUACAUUAAUGACAAGUCUUCUGUGAGUUCCCAGGUGGCACAAUGGAUUAAGGAUUGGGCAUUGUCACUGCUGAGGCAGGGAUUCAAUCCCUGGCCCUGGGAACUUCUGCAUGCCACAGGCCUGGCCAAAAAAUUAAAUGAGAAGGACACAGCUUCUUCUCUCUUCUUAGCUUGGUGGGUGCCAUCCCCAGGAGAUGAAAAGAAGCAAGGAACUCAUUCUGCACAUAAAUACUUUCAAUUUUACAGCAGCCUGCCUUAUUUCAAGAAACUGAAUGUCCGUCCGUGGAAAAAGGUCAGCCCUAAGAGAAGACCUCACCUCUUCCUAAAAGAUGCCACAGAUCUUCACUCUGCCCCUGCUGAAGAUUGACUCAACUAAGGCACCAUGAGGACUGUGCUUUUCUCAUCUUCCUGUGAUACCACGUUUGUCCCAAGCACCACAAGAGAGGACAUCUGAAUUCCAAUUCCAGAGACCGGUGUGUCUAUUUGAGCCUAUGGUGCUUUUUGCACAGUUCAUUCCCGUAUCAUCUGCAGCAAUUCUAACUGUUUUAGAGUGUUGACUGGACACCGCCUUCAAUGGUGUUCUGCAGAACAAAUGGAAGAAAAAGGAUUCCCGCUCAGCUUCCCAGCAUGAACUGGCAUCCAUGAUACAGACAAAGACACAAAAAAAUACAAUGCAGCUAAGGCUCAGAUGAGCCUUGAAAGGCAUCCAGCUGCACUCUUAAACCCAGCUGGUAUGUCUGCUGGUUAAAUAACAGAACAGACUGGUAAGUCUCAGAGAACCUGGUGCUGAAGUCCAGAAGGCUGUCAUGUCUGUGUGUGCUUGGCCUCCCUAGGAAGCAGGAGGCUGGGGGAAGAGACUCAGUAGCAAGAUAUUAAGAAAGAUGGAGGUGUCCUAACUAAGAAGGACCCUACCAAAUAGCUGACUCCUCCUUGGAGUCUAGUUUCAAGGAGACAGAUUGGAAAUUAGCAGUGAGAUGUGGGCCAUAAGGCCCAUGGGGGUCAAAGUCGAGAACCUGAAGAAGGCAUGGUUGGUGGCACCCGAACCCCAACAGGUCAUCUUGAGGAAACCUCAUGCCCCUCUCACCAUCCCCUCCAUCCACUACUCUGUCUCCUUUCUUCUAGGUGUCAAUCACCUGGCCACCCACAAAGAACUCCUCUGCUGUGUCUUUCUAACUUGGGGUACUGUCUCCUACAAGCCCUUCUCUUUCUCUGCUCCAUAGAGCCCAUCAACCCUCCCUCUUUGCCACUCCUGUCCUCAGUCAAUUCAUCGCCAUGUUCCUUUAGUCUCCUAAUUCUGCCAGAUGUGAACUUGAUGGGUUGGCCUUUAUAGACACUAUUACUGCCAGAACCUCUUCCCUUCUUUGCCUAGAAUCCUGUCUCUAUUUAAGUCCUAAUCCUUUUUGCCAUUUUGACCUAGUUCCCAUUAUUUUAUAUUUUUCCAUAUUAAGUUAAAUAAGCCACUUGUCAGCCUGCAUAUAUCUUAUUGGAUUUAGCUCUUCUUUUGUGAC
rnacentral:lncRNA from 9 species